CCCUUAGAUGUCCUGGGCCGCACGCGCGUUACACUGAUGCAUUCAACGAGCUUAUAACCUUGGCCGAGGGGCCUGGGCAAUCUUGUUAACGUGCAUCGUGAUAGGGAUAGAUUAUUGAAAUUAUUAAUCUUGAACGAGGAAUUCCUAGUAAACGCAGAUCAUCAAUCUGCAUUGAUUACGUCCCUGCCCUUUGUACACACCGCCCGUCGCACCUACCGAUUGGAUGGUCCGGUGAAGCCUCGGGAUUGUGGUUCUUGCCGCUUUAUUGUGACGUGACCGCGAGAACUUGUCUAAACCUUAUCAUCUAGAGGAAGGUGAAGUCGUAAUA
rnacentral:rRNA from 1 species